CUGUUUUGAUAAGCUAAAGUAGAUUGACCAUAAAUCUUUGCUUGGAUAUCGGAUUUGGGUGAAAUUGGUAUCGUUGGAUAAUUCAAAGGGCUUUCAUUUCAUAUAAAGUAGGCCACCCAGUUCGUCCUGUACAAGGAGUUAUGGUCGUUUGAAGUUGACCCUAAAAAUCUGUUUUGAUAGGCUGAAGUAAAACGAGUAUAACUCCUUACUCAGAUGUUGGAUUUGGAUGAAACCAAUUGCAUUGGAAAGAAGACUCAAAGAUCUUUCUUUUCAUAGGUAAGGAAGUUAUGAUCAUUCAAAG
rnacentral:lncRNA from 1 species